CCCUCUGGGAGGCGGCUGAAACCCGGUGAGAAUUCGAGCGUGGCGCGGGUGGGCCAGCAGUGUUUGGGGACCCGGAGCACUCUCCACAGCUGCUGGUCCAGGUGCUAAGUCCCUCACUGCCCAGCACCUGCAGCGCCGACCGGCCGCUCUUGAGUGCGGGGCCUGCAGAGCCCACGCCCACCCGGAACUCGCGCUGGCCCGUGAGCGCCGUGCCGCAGCCCCGGUUCCCGCCCGCGCCUCUCCCUCCACACUUCGCCGCAAGCAGAGGGAGCCGGCUCCGGCCUCAGCUGGCCCAGAGAGGGGCUCCCUCAGUGCAGUGGCGAGCUGAAGGGCUCCUCAAGGGCGGCUGGAGUGGACGCUGAGGCCGAGGAGACGCCAAGAGCAAACGAGGGCUGCUAGUACAUUGUCACCUCUCACUGGUAACUACAGUUGCUGUCAGUUUAACUCUCAUGGUAGGGAGAACCCCCACAAGGAGACUGCACUUCAAAGUCCCUCCUGGAUCCCAUUCAGAUCCAAAACUGAGCACCUGCUCUGUGCCAAGAAAUGCUCUAUGGAAAUGAAUCAGUUCCCACCAUCCAGGAGGUCACAGCCUG
rnacentral:lncRNA from 1 species